rnacentral:misc_RNA from 1 species
GAUGAAGAACGUAGAAAUGCGAUACGUAAUGUGAAUUGCAGAAUUCAGUGAAUCAUCGAGUCUUUGAACGCACAUUGCGCCCCCUGGUAUUCCGGGGGGCAUGCCUGUCCGAGCGUCAUUGCUGCCCUCAAGCACGGCUUGUGUGUUGGGCCUCCGUCCUCCUCCCGGGGGACGGGCCCGAAAGGCAGCGGCGGCACCGCGUCCGGUCCUCGAGCGUAUGGGGCUUCGUCACCCGCUCUUGUAGGCCCGGCCGGCGCUUGCCGACACAUCAAUCUUUUUUCCAGGUUGACCUCGGAUCAGGUAGGGAUACCCGCUGAACUUAAGCAUAUCAAUAAGCGGAGGA